GAGAGCGGGGAAAGCAUGCCAGGAUACGCUGCUCAGCCCGGAGCAGGAAGGGGUGGGACCUGCCUUGUGGGUGGCCUCUCCAGACACACGGUUCUCCUGGUGCAGGAUGACAUCUCACUGCCUCUGUCUGGGCCUGAUACCCCUGGUUCUGCUCUGUUGCCUGCCUCUGGCGCGCCCGGACCCAUGCGGCCUGAGCAUCGUGCCCAAGGACCCGGCGGUGGCUUUCGGGGGUGACGUGGUUCUGAACUGCACCAGCACGUGCUCCAAUCACACCAGCCUGGGCUGGGAGACGUCGGUGCCGAAGGUGACGGGUCGGGGAGACAGAUGGGUGUCUCUGCACAUCUCCAACCUCACGGAUUGGAUCCUGGAGCCCCUGUGCUACAGCAACAACCCGCAGAUCAUCGAAAAAACCAGGCUCCACGUGUACCGAUUCUCACCCCCCAAGAUCCACCUGAGAGCCGAGAUGGUGGCCGGUCACCAGGAGCGAAUCACCUGCAACGUCUCCAGCCUUGUGUCCGGCUCCAGCCCCUCCGACAUCAACGUCACCCUGAGCAGCGGGAACAGCACCCUCAACGAGAACCGCGGCAGCCCGGCCGUGGGGUACAGCUUCGUGGUGCAGCCCACGCAGCACGGGCAGGAG
ensembl:lncRNA